rfam:Staphylococcus sp. CAG:324 genomic scaffold, scf8
GGGUCUGUAUUUUGGUUUCGACGGGAUUUUUGAAGUAAUGUAAGCACGUCGUGGUGAUGCACGUUAAAACAUGAGAUUUUAAAUAAACGCAAAUAAUACAAAUUACGCUUUCUGCUAGGCUAAAAUAGCAGAAAACCACCGAAAGUGGUUUUAUCUCUUAUAAUUACUUGCCUAUGUGUGUUAUAAGGGAAAGAGAGUAGGCUUUGAAAAAGUAUUGCUUUUCUAGAUACUUUUUUAAGAAAAUAGAAAUAGUAAUUAUUGAUUUUGUUUGUUUAUUAAUGAUUACGAAAACUUAAAAUAAACUAAACGUGUAGAAAGCAACAUGAAUGAAAUUUCGGACCCGAGUUCGACUCUCGGCAGAUCCACCA